UGUAAUACAUGUAUAUGUGACAUAAUCUAAUCAAACUAACUCAUAAAUGGACUUAAUCGAUCUCAUGGACCACAAAUUCUUCAAUUACUUGCAAAUUUGGUGAGUUCCUUCAAACGGUGGGCGAAGAGCUUAAUUUUGAGAGAGAGGAAAAGUCGUGAAGAGUAUUUGCGAGAGAGGGGGAACGUCGCCAGAGAGCAUUUGCGAGAGAGCUAAAGACAGUGACGAUGUGGGAUGAAGUAAGGUUUUUUUCGGUCAUUGUUCACAAGUGGGAUGAAAGCUUCGAAUUAUUUGUUUUAAAUCAAAAAGCGUAUGAUUGAAGGAAAACAUUGAUUUUUUAUUAGGGUAAUUUUUAAUGACACAUAAUUUAUGCCAUUAUUUACGAUGCGAAAAUUUUGUCAAGAAAACUCAAUUUGUGUCACAAAAAAUUUUGUAUUUUUAUUUUUAACGACACAUUUUAUUCCCUCAUAUCCCUUUUUCUUGAUUUCAAGUGUCAUUAAAACUUAUAUUUCUAAAUAAAUUUAUUCGACGAAAGUGGCUAGAUUGGUGGGUUUGACGGCGAAGGCUUGUUGUGGGAGCAAUGACAACAGUGGUUGGAGUGUGGAAUCGACGACGGCAAGUGGCAAAAAAUUGGAGGGCAAGGGUUCUUCAUAACCACUUGGCAAAUGUAAUAAAGGCGGCAAACCGGCGAGGGGCAGGAAGGAAGCGUGAUUGCCAUAGGAAAUGUGUUAUUUUGCUUCCGCUUAUUGUUUUUUUUUUAGGUUUAAGACGUUGUAUUGAAAUUUAGCUUACAAACUUUUAUUUGUAAAUAGUACUUUUUUUAAGUUUUUGGAAUAUUUGAAAAUCAGGCUUGAC